AUAGGAAAGGGCUGUGGUGCCAGUGCCAUUUAAAAGCACAUGACUUGACUGAGAGGCAGACCUGCUAAGCAGCAGGAAGCCAUUCACUGCAGCCUGUAAUAACAAGAACAUCAAAAAGUCCUAGAAAGCUUGGUGCGUGACAAUGGAUGAGCUCUACCCUAGAGUACCAGGCAUGCCUAUUAGAUGCACUGCGAGACCUCAGGAAAGCAAAAUGGGAUAUUCCCUCUGACUGGAACAGGGAAUCAUUCUAUUUAAAAUGACAACUGUCAUUUAAUAUUCAUUGAGCAGCCACCAUGUUCUAAGUGCCAUAUGAAGCAUCGAUGAGACUUGACACUUGAAAAGAAGAGAUGAGUUUGUACUGGAACCAGUUACUGCUGACGCUUGAUUUGAUAACUGUGUGGACAGGGGUGGAAAGGAUUCUUGGUGCUCUAACUUUUGCCAACUGAGGAGAAUGCUAUGCGGAUUGCCAACAGGUGAUCCUGAAAAACCAUUUACGAUAUUCAAUUAACAAUAAUUAAGGCACUCAGUGGGAAGGUCCUCACUGACUUGCUAAGUAGCGAAAAUUGGUACUUGGCAUUCCCAGUGGAUGAGAGAAAAGAUAAUAAUAAGUACCCCAAAUGUAAAGAUAAUCGAAAUGAAACCAAUUAUGGCUAAAUUAUAUUACGCAAAUAGAAGCACAAGUUGAAUCAGAAAUAUUUCAGUUUUUGACAAGAAAUAUGAAAAAGAGAUAUAAUAACAUUUUAGCUAUUAAUUGAUCAUCUAAUCUAGUUUAGUUCUGGAAAGAGAACUGGUUUAUAAACCUUUAAGUUUUAUAUAUGUUGAUAAGGGACCACAGUCUGUUAUAAUAAUCUCAUAUUUUUAGGAGCUAUUAAAGCCUAGUUUUCUGUUAAUAUAGUUAAUAAUGACCAUAAUCGAUUCUAUUACCAAUAGUCAUAUUAAGUCCAUCUUUUCACGAUCACAUACUCACAAAAUAUCAAUGCUAAUUUGAUUUACUAUAUUCAACUUUACUAACUUUAAACUAUUUUCCACCAGCUACUUUUCUAUAGCACUAAAAAAAAAUAUUUUUAACAGCAAGAUCAAGGGUUCUGAUUCCCAUACUGGCCAGCUGCCAUAAAAAAAAAAAAAGAUUUUUUCAAAACUUCUUUAUAGUUUUUUUUUCUCACCUACUCUCUUACUAUCCUUCACUUCUCCAUCAAUUUCUCCUCCCCGAUAUAUCUGAAAUUAUAAAAUCAGCUUUAGAAUUAUAAUGAUCCCCCAAUAUCCAAUUAAGGUGUAAGUCAGUCAAGGGUGGCCUGUAUAUGCUUGUGAAGCAGUAAAUCUAAAGCAUCGAAGACUCUUUAGACUUCAUCUAAUCCACCCUCCCCAUUAGUAUGUGAAUAUGUGUAUAUCCAUAUUUUAAAUUCACUAAAAUUUAAGUCUAAAGACCAAACCCAGGCUGAUUUCUGGCAAGGAAAAAACAAUUAAUGCAUUCAUCAUUAUUCAUGCAGGCAUCAAUAAAAGUUCUCUUUCAAAUCCUCUGGUCUUUUCUUCUGUAUGUUCCAAUCUCUGUCAGCUCCAAAAGGUCUUUGCUUUUUAAAAUUUUAUAAGUAUGUCUGAACAAUAGUCUCAUAUUUAUUGUCAGAAAGCUAAGCUCAAUUAAUCUUUUCAAAUGAAAACAACUAUGGAAAAGCA